CCUACGGGAGGCUGCAGUGAGGAAUAUUGGUCAAUGGGCGUAAGCCUGAACCAGCCAAGUCGCGUGAGGGAUGAAGGUUCUAUGGAUCGUAAACCUCUUUUAUAAGGGAAUAAAGUGUGGGACGUGUCCUGUUUUGUAUGUACCUUAUGAAUAAGGAUCGGCUAACUCCGUGCCAGCAGCCGCGGUAAUACGGAGGAUCCGAGCGUUAUCCGGAUUUAUUGGGUUUAAAGGGUGCGUAGGCGGCCGUUUAAGUCAGCGGUGAAAGUCUGUGGCUCAACCAUGGAAUUGCCGUGGAAACUGGGAGGCUUGAGAAUGGUUGCGGCAGGCGGAAUGGUUGGGGUAGCGGGGAAAUGCUUAGAGAUCACACAGAACCCCGAUUGCGAAGGAAGCCUGCCAAGCCAUGACUGACGCGGAGGCACGAAAGCGUGGGGAGCAAACAGGAUUAGAUACCCGAGUAGUC
rnacentral:rRNA from 1 species